rnacentral:rRNA from 1 species
ACACGUAUGAAAGACAAGCUGAAAGACUUUUCUCAAUGAUGUAAGUGGUGGUGCAUGGUCGUUCUUAGUUCGUGGAUUGAUUUGUCUGGUCUAUUCCGAUAACGAGCGAGACCCCGGCGUUCCUAAUAGAGGCGGCAGCCCGGCUUACUUCGCAAGAAGUCUGCUAGCAGCCGUCGUAUAAAACUUCUUAGACGUAUCAGAGCCGAUAAGGUUCUUGAAAUGGGUUAAUAACAGGUCAGUCAUGCCCUUAGAUGUUCUGGGCCGCACGCGCGUUACAAUGGUAUAAAUAGAAAGUGCUCACACGGGCUUUUCCGCGGCCUAAUGGUCGCGGUAAUCCCUAAUCUCUCCCUUGACUGGGACAGACUAUUGCAAUUAUUGGUCUCAAACGAGGAAUUUUUAGUAGUCGCAGGUCAUUAACCUGCGACGA